AAAAUUCUUCGGGGCAGGGUGUAACUCCCUACCGGCGGUAGAGUCCGCGACCCAUGUAAAUGGCUGAACCGGUGUGAUUCCGGUACCGACAGUUAAAGUCUGGAUGAGAGAAGAAAAUG
rfam:Blautia sp. YL58, complete genome.